GCGGCCGGCGGCAAGGGCCGGCCAUGGAUUUCGGUCGAGAGCCUUUACAGCAUGGACGGCGACAGCCCGGACGUUGCGGGACUUCUGACUGUUGCCGAUCGUCAUGACGGGAUGCUCGUUGUCGAUGAAGCACAUGCAACCGGUGUGCUCGGCCCACAGGGGCGGGGACUUGCUGCGGCAUUCGAGGGCCGCGACAAUGUCAUUACUCUGCACACUUGCGGAAAAGCGCUUGGUACUGUCGGCGGCUUC
rnacentral:misc_RNA from 1 species